rnacentral:rRNA from 1 species
UGUGUAGAUGGUUUUUUAAGUUAUAAAAAUUUAAAUUUUAGUAAAAAUGAAUUUUUAUAAUACUAAUUAACUAGAGAUUAUUAGAAUUAAAUAGUAUUUUACAUGAAUAUAGAGGUGAAAUAUGAAGAAUUGAUAAAGGACUACCAAAGGCGAAGGCAAUUUAAUAUAAUAAUCUGACAUUGAGGCACGAAAGCGUAGGGAGCAAACA